rnacentral:lncRNA from 1 species
UGCGUCUUUUGCUUGCUGCCUGGUUGGUUUGUUUGAAAAGCUAGGCCGACGUGCUAUAUUUUCGCUGCUAAGUAAGUAUUCUUCGCUAAGCUUGUGCUUUUAUAUCUUUUCUAUGCGCAACUGCAUCCUGGACAGUUGGGCAUGUGAGAUUCCUGUUUAUUUCAGGUACACCCCCACAGAAGUUUCACGAGAGAUUGCAGCCCACGGAUGGCCCAGCGAAAAACGUAGCCCGUUAUUGUGAUUAGAAAUGCAGACAUGAUUAUAGUGAUCACAUUAUUCGUUGGAUCAUUUAUUUACAGAUGAGCCUGUGGGACAAAGGCGUCACAUUUCACCACCGAUCG